rnacentral:rRNA from 1 species
CAGACCUCAAAUCAAGUAGGA